CUGGUCACGUGGUUUUUCCAACGGAGAUCGCGGACCCCUUCGUGUACCCGCCGCCAGCGUUUGCCUGGCCCUCGUCGCCCCUCAUCCAUCGGCGCCCGCCGUGCCCAAAUCCGCCCGUGAAUUCCGCGCGAGGAUCGCGGCCGGCGUGAUCCCAUCCCAAUCCCGUCAAACUUCCCGUCUGCAGCAGCAGCGCCGCCCUCCUCCCCGUGUGCAGGCCGCAGCGCCGCCCCUCGAUCCCCUCCAUCGCCUUCCUCCCCGUCCGCAGGCCACAGCGCCGCCCCCAUCCCCAUCCAUGGCGGCCGGCGGCUUGGAGAGCAGGGGCGGACGGCGGGCGGAGGCAUCUCCGGAGGGGGGGGGGGGGGUGUGCACGCCGCGCUGCGCCGCGUGCUGGACGCGCUCCGGCGGGCCGGCGGACCGAGGAGAUCCAGAUGGAGGCGGACUCCGUCGUCGAGGAAGCCCGUGCCAAGGCCGUCUCGGCUGUCAAUGACCUCUCGCGGGGCCGCCGGCCCGAGGAGAUUCGGAUAGAGGCGGACUCCAUCGCCGAGGAGGUUCGUGCUUCGCCGUGCGCCUCGGCGACAUCGCGGCGGCCGAAAUGCUCGUGGCGGCCCAGCCAUGGCAGCAGCAACAGUAGGCGGCGGCGAUUGUGGAGGGGCCCUCGCCGCGCUGCUGGAGCGGUGCGGCGGCGCCUUGCCGUUUCUCCAGGCGACCGUCGGCGUCUCGCUUGCCGGCCAGGCCUAUUCCGUGACCCGUCCGCGGUGAGCAAGGUCUGGGCGAUGGCGACGACCGCUAGGGCUGAUGUGGAGGCCAAGGAGAGGGCGGCCAGGGAGGCGAAGACGAAGGCGGAGGUGGAAGGCAGCGGCUGGCGCGGAGAAGGCGGCCAAGGCUGUGGCGGCGGCGGACAAGCCAGAGAGCUCGGCAGAGAAGGACAGCAGAGGUGCAUAAGGAGGGCAACAUGAGACGUUAUAGAGGAGAAAGCUCAUGACCUGAUUGCAGAUGCCAUUACAAAACUGGAGAUGGAGUACGGCGUUGCCUCUCACGCCGCCCUCCUCGCCGCUGUUCUGCAAGCAGGUCAGCGGUCCCGUCUACUCCUCGUGCCGCCAUCACUGCCGUCUAUUCAGCUGAUGAGAUUAAGGGGCUAGCUGUGGGAAGAAUAUGAAAACAAUUCUUCUAUUGAAACCAAUCUUGUAAAAGAUUUCGAUAAAUUUUGCAGUUUACUUUCACCCAGCAGAAUCUCUCAGCUUGGAAGCUAGCAAUGACACCUGGAUGUGAUCCCUACGACGCCUCUGCCUGGUCUAUGAGGUGUAGCCUGCUGAUCAACGUAGCGCCGCCGCUGUCAAGAACGUCCGUGUGGCUGGGGCGACGACACCUCCGAGGGCGUCACACCUGUGCCCAACGAGUCAUCAUUCUGUGGUCGUGGGAUCGCAAGUGAGUUCUUCGUCAUCCUCUCCUUCCGUUUUGCCUGUUGGUGUCCAACUCUAUAAACCGUUUCUUGGUUUUGCAUACCUCCAGUGAACUAGAACCGUCGCCCUUGCAUGUUGAUGCCAGAUGCCUUGGUCGGCCUGGUCAAGGAAACCAGCAACUGGCUGUGAGCCCGUUGAUCAGGAACAAAUGACUAGGGUUAGAUAAAAAAAUACCAUCUAAAGCUGCCAUUUGUCCUUUCAUUGCCAAAUUCAGCCGGCACACAUGCAUAUAACUAGGGGACAGACUUGUUAGCACGUGGAUGCAUAAUUUAUGGCUUCUCAAUCAAAUAUAUUAGUCCUCGUGAUCUUGUUUUUAUGCUCAGUGGUAUGAGUAUGAGCAUGAUCGAGCAUACCCUAAAUUUGUCCUUAUCAUUAGUGUGGACGAAACCAAGCAGGAGAUAUAAGUACCAGCAUGUUAGGAAUAUAUUGUUGUUUCAAGAUAACAAGUAGUGUGUUCUAACUGCUCUGUUCUAACUGCUUGGCAACGCCAGCGGCAGGAGGUGUUGGACCUUUUUUUUUCCAUAUUCAGUUUACAGAAGUCCAAUAGCGGUUGCGGCAGCGGCUCUGGGACCUGCUUUCAGGUUAUGUACCAUUAUGAUUGCAUCAACAGCUUGGCUUUCUCUCUCUGAUUUUAAUUCUCAUAUAACAAUAUUUCUGGUUUAAUACCUUAUAUUACAUUUGUACUCGUGAAUUGAUUUACUACGGAAAAAACCAGAGAUAAAUCUCAUAGAUAAUUCAAUCUCACUUCAUUAUGAGAUCUCUUAGGGCUAGGCAAAGAAAUGCUUUUCUGGUUCUGCCACUGAAAAUUUUACCAUUUAUUAUUGGAUGGAUAUAUCAUUCGUAUCUGGUAUUAACAAUGAAAAUCUUGUCUGAAUUUGAGCUAUAUGAAUUUGAUGCUUGGUGCAUCAGUGGGAUUUGGCCAUCAGAUGUAGAUAACUCUUUUUGAAACAAUCCAUGCAUCUGUAAGGAGGGAAACAGUUUUGAAUGAGAAGGGAAAGGUAUGUUGGGACUGCAUAGAUUUGCACUGACCGGUCUAUUGUGAUCACAAAUGUUUUCUUGUAAUAUAGCAUUGAUUUGAUUCUUAUUCCAAGCAUGAAUAAUUGGUGGCUUAAUGUGAAGCAUUUAUGAUAGGAAUUCACUGUUUAUUUCCCCUCUAGAUCCUGAUUCGUAGCUACAAAAUGUAGCUCUGUGUCGUGCCGUGUUUGAAGUGCAAUAGUGUCACCUUAGGAUGGUUGAAUAUGCUAAAAAUAUUACCCUCAGUUUUGCAAUCAUUGUGGAACUGCUACUGUCGUUAUGUGGUUGAGAAUAAUUUGCACUGUAACCAAAUAAGCUGUAACAUGUACGGCAGAGAGCUCCUAGGUGUCCAUUUAAAAAUGGUUUUUUUUCAUUUCCAAUAACAAUUUUUAUACAUGUAUGGUUUUUUUAUUCUGGAACAAUUCUCAUGUGAAGGUAACACUGCACAGAUAAUUUCAGAGAUAUAUUUUGGAACAAUAUAAUGUAUUACAAUUCAGUAAGCUUUCCAGUGCAAGCUGUUCCUUUUCUAUUCCAUUCUUUUGAAUUUGAAGGUCAUCACUAUAUGUAGCUCCUACUUAAAAAUGCUUCUCACACGCUACCUUUUUUGUUAGCUCAUCUGAAAUCUGAAAUGUAUGCUUCCUCCUUACAAAUACCUCCUAAUACCAGCAUGAUAAAAAGUCAAUUUGUUUGGAAUAUGUCAUGAUAUCAUGCAACUUUUCUGAAAAAUGGAAGUUUAAUGUCUCUACAAAUUGAAACUCCAGGCAUUGUUGUAAGAUCCAGAUUUCAUUUUUUUUAUGUGGCUACAUAAUCUUUAUUUUAUUUUAUUUUAGGACUUGUUCUUGGCUGUAAAAUAUUUAUUUGGUUUUAUGAUUUAUUCUUGUUUAAGAAUUGAUACUCUCUUUUGAGGCCCUCUAUUGUAGUUUUUUCUCUUUUGCAGCACGUGUAAGAUGUAAAAAUAUCAGUAUAUCUUAGUGUCGUAAUUUUUCUCAGUUCCAUAUAAGUGGAAGAUAUUUUUCUUA